GUGCUCCUCCGGGUCGGUAAACCCCAGUGGAACUCUAGUCCAGACGGGUGGAUUCAACGACGGAGAGAAAAGGGUGAGGACUUAUGACCCGUGUGCUACCUGUGACUGGAAAGAGAUCGAAAACGCGCUGACCAACCGGAGAUGGUACGCCACCAAUCAUGAACUCCCCGACGGACGGCAGAUAAUCAUCGGCGGAAGGCGGGAGUUCAACUACGAGUUCUACCCCAAAAGUGGAGGAUCCAUGAACGCACAUAGUUUACCUUUUCUUGUUGAGACAAGUGACGGCAACGCCAUAGAGAACAAUCUCUACCCUUUUGUUUUUCUCAACGUUGAUGGCAACCUUUUCAUCUUCGCUAACAAUCGAGCCAUUUUGUUCGACUAUGCGGCCGGUAAAAUCGUCAAGACCUACCCUACUAUACCCGGUGGAGACCCACGGUCGUAUCCGAGCACCGGUUCCGCCGUGUUGCUACCUCUGAAAAGCUCAAAAGGUCAGGUUGUGGCAGCUGAGGUUUUAGUAUGCGGUGGAGCUCCCAAAGGCUCUUAUGUUAAAGCUGCAAGUGGGACAUUCGUGGAAGCAUUGAAGACAUGCGCACGGAUCAAAAUAACCGACCCGAGCCCGCAGUGGGGUAUGGAAACCAUGCCUCUAGCUAGAGUCAUGGGUGACAUGACGUUACUUGCCAACGGUGACGUUUUAAUCAUCAACGGUGCCGGAUCAGGUACCGCCGGGUGGGAGCUAGGUCGGAACCCGGUACUGAACCCGGUUGUUUACAAGCCCGAUAAUGCGGUCGGGUCACGAUUCGAGCAGCAAAACCCUAGCACCAUUCCACGGAUGUAUCAUUCCGCUGCAAUACUACUACGUGAUGGGAGAGUUCUUGUUGGAGGUAGUAACCCUCACAUUCGUUACGAGUUCUCAAACGUGCUGUUCCCGACCGAGCUUGCCUUAGAAGCGUUCUCACCUAGUUACUUGGAGUCACAAUUCGCAAGCAUACGUCCGAGCAUCUUUUCACCUCUGUCACAAGUUACGGUUGGUUACGGCCAGAAGCUAGCCGUUCGAUUUUCGAUAACGGGGAAAAUAGCACUGAACUCUGUGUCCGUUACAAUGGUGUCACCUUCGUUCACUACACACUCGUUCUCGAUGAACCAGAGGCUACUGGUUCUUGCUUCCGAGAAUGUUAUAGCUGUGGGGAACUUGAAGUUUGAAGUUCAGGUUACGACGCCGGCUACCGGUAAUCUUGCACCGUCUGGAUAUUAUCUCUUAUACGUGGUUCACCAGCAGAUUCCAAGUGAGGGUAUUUGGGUCAAGAUUAAGUAAUAUGUUACUAGAAGAUAAGAGAUAUAGGUAUAUAUAGUCGUAUAGUUGCCUUCUCAAACUUAUUUUCAUCUUUUACAUUAUUUAUUCUUACAGUUUUUACAAAUUGUAUUAACUGUAUCAAAUAUUUGUAUGUUAAGUCGCUGAUCAGUAAUGUUAAGUCGCUGAUCGAGUAAACAACUACUGGAUCCUUCUAAAUUUGGUAAAUUCAAUCCAAAUAGCUCUCUCGAUGACUAGCUCUCUGCUAAGACUCUUCCCAUAAUCGAAAGUUAUAUUGGAAUUUUCAAAGUCCCAAGUCUUAAAUCCGUCAGGUUCGGUUGCUACUAUACACAUUUGUAUAGCAUACAUCAAGCCAUGAGCCGUCCGAUCAUUUAGCAAUUCAAAAUUCAAAACGAUUAGAUGGUUUACGGUUUGAUGUAUGUUAUACACAUAUGUAUAGUAGAAAAAACUAAAUCCGUCAUACCGCGCAACUAGCUAGGUAUUUCACAUACGAAAUUAUCUCGAUUGAAAAUUUUAACAAUCUCUUAUAUAUGAAUAGGUAAAGAAACUAUAUUAAAACUAAAGGGGGUGUAUUCAAUUCAGAUUUUAAAAGAUUCUGACAGAUUUUAAAUAAUCCAUGUAUUCUGUCGGGCAGAUUUUAAUGGAUUGAUUCAUUGGUUUUUCUUUGGAUUUUAUACGUCCAUAGACUGUUUAUUAAUACAAGUUGUGUUUAACAUCAUGUCAAACGCUAUACAGCAUGGUCAUGUUAAAAACCAAACCGGCAACAACAGAUGAUAUUCAUUAUUCAUUUAUAGAACUCUAUACAACAAUGAUCAUGUUGAAAACCAAACCAGCAACAACAGAUGAUAUUCAUUUACAGAACUCUAUACAGCAAUGAUCAUGUUGAAAACCAAACCAGCAAUAACAGAUGAUAUUUAUUUACAGAACGCUAUACAGCAACAGUCAGGUUGAAAACCAAACCAGCAAUAUAUAACAGAUGAUAUUUAUUUACAUAAGAUUUUUUUUCCCAACCAAACCAGAAAUAAAGAAAUCUUGCUGUGUUCCCUCUCCUAAAUCCAUUGCAACAUGGGAAACUUGAACACUUUCAGUUUGCAUACAGACUUUCAUGCACUUUGUAUCUUCUACCUCACCAAAGUCACUUGCCUCAACCAUAAAUGAGGUAUAAACCCUUCAAACCGUCACCCAUGCAAACAUCAAAAUGGCUAAUUAGAAAUGCCUUACACAUAAGCUUUAUGUGUCCCUCCCUCACCUCCUUCCCUACCCUACAAAGCCCAACCUCUCUCCACUCUACUCCUCACCAAAGUAGCUAGCUAGUAUGAGUAGUAUCCACUCUAAAAAGCAGCCAGGUCUAUAGCUCUCUCUUUUCUUGCUUAUUCUCUUUCAUGGCUGCUUAGCCUAUCGCCAACAAUCUCAGUCCAGCCAGCAUCUACAUGUAUAGAAAUUAAAAAUAAAUAUAAGAAAACAUGUCAAAGAAAAGUUAACAAUAUCAAUUUUACAAUGAUAAAAUUCAUGUUACAUGGCAUAAAAACAGUGAUUCUUCUUUUAUUGUUUGCAGCUGUGAUCAAAUCAAACCAUUUAAGUUUCAUUCUUCUAGAUACAAGAAGAAAUAGUGAAAUAAUCUGCUAGUAAGAGCAAAUUCACAGCAAGCUCUUGACUACACACCUAACUGACUGCUCAAAUAAUAAAUAGAAUGCAAAUAGUAAAGGACCAGCUCAUAUGCACUCGUGUGUACUAUUUCUAAGUUCAACCUGAACACUACUACAACAAAUGAAUUAGACAAAAAGAAACAAGUAAUAAGCAUCAAGUUUCUUAUGAUUACAGCAAAGGGCCUUUUAACUUGAUAAAAUCCAUCCAAAUUCUAGUGAGAGACUAUGAUAUAUGAUCAUUCAUGUAAACAAUUAUGCUCUGAGUCUUAUUAGAAUAUCUUGGUUAUCCAUGUUAACAAUCCCCUUUCAGGCAGAACACUUACAGUAUAGAAUCAAUUACAAACUAAACACUCAAGUGCACCAUUCACCUUCUUCACAUCCAAAAUAUUUGCAUAAAUCAAGAGUUCCUGAUGCUCUUAGCCCCUAGUCUAUAAUCCUAAUAAUGAUUGAACAUGGGAGCAGCUGUUAUAUCAGCUAUCAGCAGGCAUAUACUGAGUAAAACAUCAAUUAAUCCCAUUCAAAUCUGAUGUACACUUUAGCAUAUCAAGCAAUCAAACGAAACCCUUAUUCUGAUAUCCCACCAACGUACUGGAUUUCCAAGAAAUUUCAAGGUAGUGAUUAUUGGUAAAUCAAACAGGUUUAGUGCUUGACGAGCAAAACAGGAAACUACCCCCAAAUCCCUUUUUCCCCAAAUCAGGGUUUAUGAAUUCACCAAAAAUUUCUAUCCCCAAACCUAAAAGAUAAGACGACGAACACCAAAAAGAGAAGAGAAAGGCGAUUACCCAGAUGUUUGCAUGUGGUGAGGUCGUCAGUCAAGGUCAGUUCGUCGCCAGAACGAGAGAGAAGAGAAUACUUCAAAAUCUGAUGGUUAGAGAGCAGAUUCUUGUUAGGGUCUCCUAUUUAUACCAAACAGCUCAGAAUCCAUCAAAAUCUGUCAUCUGAUAGAAUCCUUGGAAGUCGUUGAGUUAUUGAAUACCGUCAGAGUUUGAAAGAGUUUUUAAAAUAGCAAUUGAAUACCAUAAGAUUUUAAAUGACUUUUUGAAAUCUUGAUUCAAUACUCAUAGACUUUUAAACUCCAAAACAAUCCAACAGACUCUUAAUUGAAUACACCACCCUAAGUAAUAUACAGACGCGUACGUUUUCGUGAAAUAUGAUACAGCUAGCAGUACUAGCUCUGUUUCGUCUGUUUUGAUUUAUUUGACCGGUGCCGGAAAGCGAGUUAUCAUGAUAUAUGAAGGCACUCAUUCAAGAAUCAAGUGUACUGUAAUUUCACAUAUACCUACCAGAAAAAAACGAAUCAAUAUUCAUCAUCAAUACUAGAACAAACAAAAAUAAAAACCGAUGACCGAUGGAAUAUUAAGCAUGCAGCUAGCUGAGGCUAGCUAGCAUUCCUACUCAGAAUUUAGAUUUUCCAUUUACAAACCCAGAACAAUUCAGCAGCUCAUUUUAUUUUCAAACAGAAACAAAACAACGGUCCGUCGUUUUCACCAACCAUGUCCCACACGUUUACAUAUAUGCAUGUGGGAAGCUCGAUCUUCUCUCUCUCUCUCUAAUCGUCUCCUCCAGAAAUCACAAGCUCGCUGGCUACUAUAUAAAGCAGACAAAUCUCAGACACUAACAGCAAAGCAGAACAGCAGAGCCAUUUAAACAGAUAGACCAAUAUCCUGAGACAAACAAAAACAGACCAAAACACCGAACUCGUAGAGAAUCAAAUCGAUGCCCCCUAUUAUGAAGAAGAAGAGCUCAACUCCUCUACCCCAUCUACUCAUUCUUUCAUUCCUAUUCAUAUCCACUUCUCUCUUCUCCCUCACCCACGCCGCCGGCGGCAAAUGGCAGCUGCUUCUCCCAAACGUCGGCAUUUCCGCCAUGCACAUGCAGCUCCUCAAAAACGACCGCGUCGUCAUGUUCGACCGCACCGACUUCGGAAAAUCCAACCUCUCCCUCCCCAACGGCGUCUGCCGCAACAACCCCAACGACACCGCCCUCAAAGUCGACUGCACGGCUCACUCCGCCGAGUACGACGUGGCGGGCAACAAAAUCCGUCCUCUCUUUGUGUACUCCGACGUGUGGUGCUCCUCCGGGUCGGUAAACCCCAGUGGAACUCUAGUCCAGACGGGUGGUUUCAACGACGGAGAGAAAAGGGUGAGGACUUAUGACCCGUGUGCUACCUGUGACUGGAAAGAGAUCGAAAACGCGCUGACCAACCGGAGAUGGUACGCCACCAAUCAUAUUCUCCCCGACGGACGGCAGAUAAUCAUCGGCGGACGGCGCCAGUUCAACUACGAGUUCUACCCCAAAAGUGAAGGAUCCAUGAACGCACAUAGUUUACCUUUUCUUGUUGAGACAAGUGACGGCACCGCCAUAGAGAACAAUCUCUACCCUUUUGUUUUUCUCAACGUUGAUGGCAAC
rnacentral:lncRNA from 1 species